AUAUAAAUGAAAUAAUUGUUUUAGUUAUAGCAGUGCAUAAAUUAACAUCCUUCAGCCCGUCUCCCGUUGUUGAAUUUUGUUUACCACCAAUUCUCAACAAUUUCUGUCCGGGGGGCGUAGGCUUACUUUGUGCGCAUGCGUAGCUGCCUGCAUCAAAGAUGGCGCGGUUCGUCCCGGAGUUUUUCCAGACCUGCGAAAGGGCGUUCGGAGGACUGGGAGGUGAGGGCAUCUCUUAACAGACGCUUUCUGCUACAAUGAAGAGGUAUUGUAAUGUAGAGGUUAUAUUCUUCGUGAGUUCUCUACACUGAAGCAGGUUCAACCCACAAUGCCACGAUCUCCACCAUGGAUAGGACAGGGAGGAUGAGAUUAGGAUGAUAUAUUUCAAUUCUGAAUCUAUAUCCAUUCUGUGCUCAUUGUUCAGGAGAAUAUAAACUAAUUCUGGAAGAGCAUGAUCAGGAGGAAAGUUCGCCGGAGAAGAUCUUACUGCUGGUAGUUCAUUUGGAACUUCACUGAAAAAUGAGGGAAACACCUUUUGAUGGUCACUCGAUGUUAUGACUUGGUGAAACUGGGAGAUUUGAACCCACUGGGAUCUGGAAGUGACUCUGGCCUGUUUCCUACAAAUACUGUCCUUCCUUAGGCAGUCCCUUGAGAUCAAGGAGGACUUUUUUUUUCCAUUCCGGUGAUCUACAGAUUCUGCCACAUGUGGGGCAGGUGGUGCUUGAAGGGUUGGGUAGAUGGGUUGUUUGGAGGUUUGUGCAUUUCCUCAGACGUCUUGACUUCACCCCUGUAAGAUCCCGAAGAAAUCUCUCGAUGUGUUUGGUGCCUUCCCAAAUGAACCUUCUUCAUUUCGGUUGGCCACAAACCAGGGUCUCCCAUGAUUUGGCAGGUAUGCUUUGAGGACAUCCCUAAAGCAUUUCACUGUCCUCCUGAGAGUCCUGCCUCAGCUGAGUUCCAAGUAGAGCAAUUGCUUCAGGAGUCUGGUGUCAGGCAUAUGAACAGUAUGUCCCACUCAGCACACCUGGUUUUUAGUGAUUAGUACAAUGAUUCUGGGCAAGUUGGCUUGGGAGAGGCUGCUGCUGUUGGACUGCCUUUCUUGCCACUGGAUUUGGAGAAUCUUGUGAAGGCACCGCUGAUGGUACUUCUCCAGUGCUUUGAGGUGCCUGCUGUAGGUUGUCCAAGUCUCCAAAGCAUAUAGGAGCACGGGGAUCACUGCUGCCUGUUAAACCCUGACCUUAAUCUUGGGUUUGCGAUCCUUGUAUUCAAAUACACUUUUCCUCCGUUGGCAGGAGGCAGAGCUGACACUUUAGAGGCGAUGAUGAAUUGUGUCAUUCAUGUCUGCCUUCAUUGAAAGGAGGCUCCCAAGAUUUUCCAGGAUCUCACCACUGAUCUUAAUAGAUGGGGGGAUGUGUUUUGCUGUGGGAGCUAGUUGAACAAGGACCUUAGUUUUCUGGGUAUUUAGUGAAAGGCUCAUUUUCUCAUAUGCUUUGGAGAAUGAGUCGACAGUGACCAGGAGCUCACUUUCUGAAUGAGCACAUGCAAGCAUCAUCUGCAUAUCAAAGACUGGGGCUGGAAUGAAUUUGCUUUUGGAUUGAAGGUGGCAUAGAUUGAACAGUUUCCUGUCUAUUCUAUUGAUUAUGCCCACGCUUUGGGUAAUUUACUGGAGGCGUGGUGCUGUAUUGCAGGCCAGGAAACUGGCGACUGACUGUGGACUGUUUCCUACAAAGACUGUAAUCAGAAAUGUAUUGUAAUGUACAUGUAUGGGGUGUGGGGUUAUCAGUUGCAUUAAAGCAUUCAUAAGGGUUAAUUUUCCAUAGUAUGGAGUAUUAGUUGCUUACUGGGUAAUGUUUAAUGAAUGUUGUUUUUAGUUGUUACAGUAAAAGUUUUCAAGCUUGAAA